rnacentral:rRNA from 1 species
UACAGAGGGUGCAAGCGUUAAUCGGAAUUACUGGGCGUAAAGCGUGCGUAGACGGUUAUGUAAGUCAGGUGUGAAAGCCCCGGGCUCAACCUGGGAAUGGCAUUUGAGACUGCAUAGCUAGGGUGCGGAAGAGGGAAGCGGAAUUUCCGGUGUAGCGGUGAAAUGCGUAGAUAUCGGAAGGAACAUCAGUGGCGAAAGCGGCUUCCUGGACCAGUACCGACGUUCAGGCACGAAAGCGUGGGGAGCAAACAGG